UAGUGAUCCGGUGGUUCUGAAUGGAAGGGCCAUCGCUCAACGGAUAAAAGGUACUCCGGGGAUAACAGGCUGAUACCGCCCAAGAGUUCAUAUCGACGGCGGUGUUUGGCACCUCGAUGUCGGCUCAUCACAUCCUGGGGCUGAAGUAGGUCCCAAGGGUAUGGCUGUUCGCCAUUUAAAGUGGUACGCGAGCUGGGUUUAGAACGUCGUGAGACAGUUCGGUCCCUAUCUGCCGUGGGCGCUGGAGAACUGAGGGGGGCUGCUCCUAGUACGAGAGGACCGGAGUGGACGCAUCACUGGUGUUCGGGUUGUCAUGCCAAUGGCACUGCCCGGUAGCUAAAUGCGGAAGAGAUAAGUGCUGAAAGCAUCUAAGCACGAAACUUGCCCCGAGAUGAGUUCUCCCUGAGACUUAGAGUCUCCUGAAGGAACGUUGAAGACGACGACGUUGAUAGGCCGGGUGUGUAAGCGCAGCGAUGCGUUGAGCUAACCGGUACUAAUGAACCGUGAGGCUUAACCUUACAACGCCAAAG
rnacentral:rRNA from 1 species